AAUAUUGCACAAUGGGCGAAAGCCUGAUGCAGCGACGCCGCGUGGGGGAUGACGGCCNNNGGGUUNUCAACCCCUUUCAGUAGNGACNAAGCGAGAGUGACGGUACCUGCAGAAGAAGCGCCGGCUAACUACGUGCCAGCAGCCGCGGUAAUACGUAGGGCGCAAGCGUUGUCCGGAAUUAUUGGGCGUAAAGAGCUUGUAGGUGGCUUGUCGCGUCUGCCGUGAAAACCCGAGGCUCAACCUCGGGCGUGCGGUGGGUACGGGCAGGCUAGAGUGUGGUAGGGGAGACUGGAACUCCUGGUGUAGCGGUGAAAUGCGCAGAUAUCAGGAAGAACACCGAUGGCGAAGGCAGGUCUCUGGGCCAUUACUGACACUGAGAAGCGAAAGCAUGGGUAGCGAACA
rnacentral:rRNA from 1 species